GUCAGCUUCCAUUCAGGGGUGGGAGUGGGGGGCACGGUGGAGACUUCUGGCAUCUUUCAGGGGGUACCGUGAGUACAUGGUCUGGAAGGCACAGGGGACCAGGCACCAGUGAGACCAUGGCAGUCAGCAUUGCUUUAAUGUGCAAACCUGAAGUAUGAAAACACAAGUUGACAGGCAGAUCUGUGUGGGGGUUCCCUCCAGGGCUGUCCCCAACAGGAUACUGCCCUUGGUGUGUGCGGAUGACAUUUCCCUGAGCUGAGUUUUGACAGAGAAACCUGGCUGGGCCCCCGUCCCUCACAGCUCCAGGGAGGCCAGCUGGGGGAAGCCAAGACCCCUGAAAUCAGAACACAGUGUAAACUGAACAGGCGCUGCUGGAACCUGGACGGGGCCUCCUGAGGCCGAGGGCAGUGGAGGGCCCACGCCACCUUCAGAAGCAGACCGCUUGGGGGGGCGGGUCACCGGCAGCUCCAGGGCUGGUCAGACGUGUGCAGGACAGUGGAUGACAUGCAGGGAGGCAUGAACACAGGAGAUGUCAGAUCGGCCGUGUUUUCUCAUCCUUGAUUUAUGGGCUGGUGGGAGGGAGGCAGCCCUGGGAGGGCCAAGGUGAAGGGACGGGGUUGGGUGUCCAGGCCAAAAGACCCUGCUGGCUCUCUGGGGUGGCCGCCACCUCAUACCCCUGUGGGAACCGCGCUGGUGGCCUGCCUGGCCCCUGAGGGUCCCCCUGGAACCUGCACUGGACACAGGCCAGUGAAGACUAAUGGGGGGUAACAGUUUUUAUUGGUCACGUGCUAUGUGCCAGUUCUGGGGGUGCUGGCAGGGGUGGCCCCACCAAAUGGGUGACUCAGUGGACAAGUCGACACAAACGAGCCGGACAGUUUCAGGAGUGGGCAGGACCUAGAGGGGCGCAGGCCGCUGGGGCUGAGCAGGGGUGGGGGCCGCUCCCCAGAGAGCUGCCAGGGAGGGCCUGGGCCUCUUCUGAACUCGCUGUGGAGGCUCUAGAGGGGCUUAGGUGAAGGGGGGAGGCGGUGGCCUUACUAACCCCAUCCUUGGCCCUGGAGGGAGGGGACCACCAAGUUUGCCACCCUGGAGACGAGCCCCAAGAGAAAAGGCCAGAAACGGCCACAAGAGACUGAGUGUGCCUGAGACCAGGACAGGAGGGGCCAGCCUCCCGUCCUGCCUCCGGUGGCUGACAGGCCUUGUUCGAGCUGGCCUCCCGUGGGCCCUGGCGGGGCCACGCCCAAUCAGCUGGUGUCUUGGGGGCACUAGCUGCAGGCACCGGAGCCAGGCCUGGGAGAGCGGGGCUCACGGCGGAUUUGGAGCACAGAGUGCCGCCAUGGAGGGUCUGCAGUGGAGGAAGGCCUCUCGCCUGGACGCUGCCAGCCAUCCGCAGAGGCCCACCCAGGGCUCUGCCCCAAGAGUGGCCACAGUCCCAACCCAAGGAGCUGGGCCUGUCCCUUCACCCACACCGUUCAGCCCAGCCUUGGCCAAAUGCAAAGUCACUUUUCACAUGGUUGCAAGACUCUCCGAGCCAAUCUUUCACACCGCUGCACUUCAGGACACGAGCACGAGUAUUUUCCUACUGUCUGUCUUUUGAGCUGUCCCUCUUUACCCAAACAUGAGUCCCAGUGUGAAAAUGAGUCAACCGUGUACCUGGGUGGGAGGUGCAGGGUGGGGGCAGUC
rnacentral:lncRNA from 1 species